rnacentral:lncRNA from 1 species
CAGCUAACCUUUUUAUUUAAAACAAAAAACAAAAGAUUUGGUCAAAAACUUUUGUUUGUUAAAGAAAAGACAGGAACAGAAACUCACUUUCCGUCGAGGUAAGGAGGAGGUUCGAGACCAGGUAGCCAUGUGGCACGUUGUUCAAUGGCUGCUGCUGGAUUGACGCUUCGUCCUGUUACGGCUCCAACGGAUGAGAUUCGUCGUUUUGUGAUGACGGCUGAGGAGUCACGACUACGGAGAUGAAAUCCUCCGGCGAUUCCUCCGCGUAAGAAGACAGACAUUUUCUAUGUUUUUUUCUUCUUUUUGCUACGUUUGUUUCGGCUCUGACACUGUUAUCUGCAAUAGAAGGUGAAGAAGCUUUAGUACAUUGUCCACAGAAAAUAAUACUUUUUAAAAAAAUUCUGUAGAGAAAAUUUUGGAAGACGGUGAAUCGUUGGAUAUUAUAUUCUUAAUUGUUUUCAUGAAAUAUCUUAAAUCCUUACGUACCGUUAACAUAAGUCACACUCAAUCAAUAUUCUGUCUAUUUUGGACAGAAAAUAUUUAAGGAAUUACAGUUGACGUAAAUUAUUUUACAAGUUUUUAAUGUAAAACUUCUCGACUAUAACCUCUUUCCGUCCAAAAUAGACCAAAUUAUAGGCUGAAGAUGACAUAAAUGGUUUGUAGUUUGAUGAUUUAGAACAUUAAACUAUUUAUUAGUUGAGGAUUUUUUUUCCUAUUUAAAAAUAGUUGAGAAGUUUUAUAACUAAAAACUUUUAAUUUACCGAUUAAAUAAAAACAAAUUUUUGUUUGUGAAAAAAUAAGCUUUCUCGUCUUCAUUUAGCUCAAGUUGACAUGAAAAAACAAACCUCAAACCUCAAACAAUAGAAAGCUCUAACGAAAAGCACACCAAAAACAAAGUUCGUGGUAUAUAACUUUGGUGAUUAUAACACAAUUCAACUGUUUUUUAAAUCAUAUUUUAUGAUCAUUUAAAUUCAUAUUGUUGGUGAGUGAUCUAAUCUUGGCUCUUAUAGCUUUAUUGUUAGUUGGUUAUCUCGGGUAGUUAAGAAUUAGAUAAGUUAGUUAGACUGGUUAAGUGUUGAACCGGUUUAGCUUAUUCUGUUUCUUGGUUUAGCGUUGUAAAGUCCUUAUAUAUAAAGGGACUAAGAGAGAUAGUCGCAGCUAAGAGUGGUGAGCUAAAACGAGAGAGAGAGAGAGAUCUGUAACGGCAUCUGAGAGUUCUCCACCAACUCGGUUUCGAGAUCGGUGCUUUGUUCUAGUGGAUUUGCUAGGCUGAGUCUGGCUCCAGGGAUUAGUAAUCCACACCGGAGUGAUACCCUGGGUGAACAAUUCUCUGUGUACUCUCUUUACAGUUCUUUAGCUCUAUCGUUCUUGUGACUCAAGACAGGUUGAAUCGAGAGCGACGGUAUCGAGUGAUACAGCUUUGAUUCAUCUCGAAUCAGAGGUUUCCGCGCAACACAUAUUCAAAAAUCCAUGUAUUAAUUUUUCUCUUUUUUACUUACCUGACUUAUUUAUUAAUUAUGAAGGAGUGCUUUAAGUAAAUUUGUGACAUGCUUAAGUGACAAUGAAAAUUCUAAAUUUGAUAGCAUAAAUCAUUCUUUUCAGGCGAUGAUGACAUUAUUUUUUUUUUUGUUAUACAUUAUUUAUUAGAGUGAAAACGAUAAUAUGUUAGGCAUUUGUUUUUCGUUUAUUUUAACAAAUGGCACUAUAUUUUGUUGGAAUAAAACAAAUUUCAUGGUUUUAGGGGGUCUAUUUUAAAAUUUUGCAAAAAGUUUCUGGUAGACCUGAGCGUUCGGGUAUCCGUUCGGGUUCGGAUCGAGUUUUCAGAUUUUGGUUCUAUUUUGUAACACCUCCUAAGUCCCAUUCUUGUAAAUAUAUAAGUACGGAUCGGAUUCGGAUAUAACACUUCGGUUUCGGAUCGGAUAUAUCCGAAGUAACCAUAUAUUAUUUGGAUUCGGGUUAUAUCGGUUCGGUUCGGAUAUAUCUAAAGUAAAACAUAAGAAAUAUAUACUUCUUUGAAUAUAAUGGAGUAUUUAAGGUAUAUAUUUAAAUUUUAAAUACUUAUUGUUAGAUAUCAUAUCCAAAUAAAUAUGAAAUUGAUAUUUGAAGUACAUAUUUAUGUUUCAAAUAUUUAUAUUGUAUAUUAAUUUGAAUAUUCAGAUCAGUUUCUUCGGAUAUUUUUUCCGAGUUUUCUGGUUUUUCGGAUUUUCCGUUCGGGUUCGGUUCAUAAUACUUUGGGUUCGGAUAUGUUUUGUAACAUCCUACAAGAUCCAUUGAAGUAUAUUUUUACAUUUCCGAUCGGGUACGGAUCGAUUUUUCGGUUCGGAUUCGGUUCAGAUUUCGGGGAUUUUAUGUCCAGCCCUAGUUCCUGGUGCAUACUUAGACCAUUCCUGUUUCUCCACAUCCUCUAGAACCCACAGACGCAACUCAAUGGAAUCAUCAGUGAAAUCGUCAUUGUAAAUCACACCUAACUUACUCUUACAGUUUAUCAGUUCACAUAAGCUUUUUGGAUAUAUAAAUUUGAAUUUCUCAGACCUAACAUCAAAGCAAACUAUCACAUAACUAGAUGUAGCCUCAGACAUUUCCUCUCACAUGUAACCUAAGUAAUACAAAACUCCAUUAAUGCAUACCCCUUCACUCUCAAUCUCAACUCUUAAGGAACAUCCGAUCUUUCUCCACCUCAUUCCUCUAGUUCCCAGUGUCCUAAUUCUGUGAUCAUCACAACAACAUGGAUGAGAAAUGAAGAAUACUUUGAAUUGUUUGUCAAUCGGAUCAAACCCCAAAACGCUAGACGACCUUCUGUACCUUGAAAUAUAAGGUAAGGUCUCAUACCGUCCAGUUUUAGGGUUACAUAUCACGGGCGCUCUUUCUUCGUCCGUCCACACACCAUAGAAAUAGAUCAAACCUGAGGCAUAGCCACAUGAGAAUUGUCGGUCAUCAUGAUCAAAUAUCUGCAUACCGUCUGGAGGGAACUGCAUAUGAAACUCGGGAGUUACUACAAGAGAUGAUAAAGGCUUCUCGUGUGGAGUCAGACUCUAAGGUAAAGAGAAGAUUCUCCACAGACCAUUUUCUUCGAUGGCAAAUAUGAGACGAGGCUGAGCCAAGGACUUAGUCAGGUACAAAUCUUUGAAGUAUGGACUAUCAAGUAUUGAUGCCCAUAGCUUGGACACGCUGCGAAACCUAGCUAUUGAUUUCGGUGGUAACCUCAACAAGAUCUCAAGGUUGAGUUCAAUAGGUAUAUAAUCUAAAUCAUGCUUGUUUUAUUUGGUGCUAGAGAGAGAGAGAGAUAGUUGUGACUUAGAGAAACCUAGCCCUAUGAAGAUAUCGGGGCAGUGUACUGUUAACCUAUGUCCCGUGAAAGCACCACUAAAUUGUUUGAAACUAGGUGUUUUGCCCGCACAUGCGGGCAUAAUUAUUUUAUAAAUACUUAUUAAUAAAUAUACUAUUAGUUUAAAGAUAAUAAAUUGAAAUAAAAUUCAAAUUUAUACUAUUUUAUAAAUCUUUCAACAUCUUAAUUUUAAUUUUUAUUGAUCUAAAAAUAUUAUUUUUGAAUGAAAAUUAAUAUUUUUAAUAUGUUUUUUAUCUUUAACUAUCUUUAUUAUAUUAUUUUAUAAACAGUUAUUUAAUUAAAAAAUAAAUAUAUAAUUGUUAAUAUAAAGUGAUAUUAUUAAACCAAAUUUUUGGAGUUACCAAAACUCACAAAACCCCAAAAAUAAAUCAAAAGCACAUGAAUGACACACGGAACCCAACUUAACAUUUUAUAUUAAUCAAAGUAAAUAAUAAUAUUGAUAUAUGUAUAAUUAUGUUGUGAAAUACCUUCCAUAAUAACUGAAUAAACACUCAAACAAACCGUGUUGACAAACAAAACAUUAAUAUGUAAUGUAUAAGAUAAUAACAUUUUCUAUAUAUUGUUAUUUUCAUUUUUUAAUUCUAUAAUAGAAAAAAAUAAGCUAUAGUCAAUCUAUAUUUUUUUACUUAAAAUAGAAAUUGCUGUUUUCCUAUAAAAUAUUAUUUUUUAUUAUAAAAUCAUAAUUUGUUAUUUUCAAAUGUUCUAUUAACUUUCAAACUUUAAUAAUUAUAACUAAAAUAAGUCAUUUUGGAAAAUACAGUUUUUAUAUAAAAAUAUAGAAUCACAUUUUUUACAUAAUAGUCUUAUAAUAGAAUUUUUUUAUUUAAACAAUGUCAUAAAACUCUUUAAAAAGUAAAUAAAUUUAAUUUUAAAUGAUUUUAUAAAUAUAAGGUACUUCUUCUAAACAAAAAAUUAAUAUUUUGAAAAUAUUCUCUUUAGGAGGCAGUUUUUUUUAAAAAUAUUUUAUAAUAUUCUGAUAAAAAUAUUUAGAAAAAUAAAAAAUAAAAAAAUAUUAACUUGUUCGACUUAAAAAACAAAUAAAUGUUAUUCUUGCAACUGAAUAAUAAAAAAAAACAAAAAACCGCCAAAGGCCACGUUAACAAACAAAUAUAUAUUAAAUUUAUUGUUAUUUCUUAUAUACCUCGUUAAUAAACUUAAUUAUUAAAAAACAAAUAUGUCAUGACAUAUUAUGUUUAAAACAAUAUAUAAAUAUGUUUUUUAAUAAAAAUAUUUUUAAUAUUUUAGUAUAAUGCUAGAAACUAACAAAUAAGAAAAAAAGAUGUAGACAAACAGAAAAUACAUACAUGGAAUUAUUUGUUUUUUCAAACAUGUUUUCCAUUUAUUUUUAGAGGUAUUGUUUUAUAAUAUUAAUUUGCAAUCAGUUAAAUAAUAAAUUACAUAAAUAUUCAUUAAGAUAUAGAAAUUUUAAUCAGUCUAAUUAAAAUUGAUUAUUAAAAUUAAUGACUCAGAUAAAAACCAAUAAAUACAUGACAAAUAAGUAAAAUUACCUAAAAUUAUGGAGAACAUAACAAAUCAGCAAAAUCAUUUAUUUAAGUUAAUAAAUUAAUAAUUUUGAUAAAAACCAAUAAAAAUAUGACAAAUAGACAAAUUAACUAAAAUCAUGGAGAACAUGACAAAUAAGCAAAAUCACUUCAUAAAUAAUAGUAUAGAUAUGCAAUUUGCAUCCAAUAUACAAAGAAAAUUGUUUAGUUAAAAAUAUGAUAUCUUUAUAUACACUAGGUGUCUUCCUGCACCAUGUGCAGUAAAAAUAUUUUAACAGAUAAAUAUAAAUUAUAUUUUAAAAUAAAAUUUUAUUAAUAUUUUAAAUUUUCUUUUUCAUAUCAAUAUUUUAAUAUAAAUUUGAUUUAAUUAAAUAUAAAUAUUAUAUUUAAGAAUAUGCAUGUAUAUAUUUGAAAUUAUAAUCUUAGAUAGAUUUUUCUAUCUAUCUAUUUAUUUUGAUUAAAUACCAGCUUCGUACCAAACAGGUAAGUUGCUAAUCCCUGUGGUACGAAGUAGCUAUAUGCAACCAAAACAAAGCUCUUGGUUAGUCAUUUUUCUUGGUGAGGUUUCAACAUUUCAAAACUAAGGCAAUGUUUGAACUUUGAAGAUUACGUCGGUUAAGAGUAUUCCGGCAACACCGAGCAUGGCGAAACGAGCGUGGACAAGCUCUGCUUGAACAUACCAUUUCAAACUUUUCGGAUCCUCUCCUAAACCGAGCGGGUCAAACCCGUAAUCUCCAGCUAACCUUUUUAUUUAAAACAAAAAACAAAAGAUUUGGUCAAAAACUUUUGUUUGUUAAAGAAAAGACAGGAACAGAAACUCACUUUCCGUCGAGGUAAGGAGGAGGUUCGAGACCAGGUAGCCAUGUGGCACGUUGUUCAAUGGCUGCUGCUGGAUUGACGCUUCGUCCUGUUACGGCUCCAACGGAUGAGAUUCGUCGUUUUGUGAUGACGGCUGAGGAGUCACGACUACGGAGAUGAAAUCCUCCGGCGAUUCCUCCGCGUAAGAAGACAGACAUUUUCUAUGUUUUUUUCUUCUUUUUGCUACGUUUGUUUCGGCUCUGACACUGUUAUCUGCAAUAGAAG